AAUCUUCAACACACAAACAGACACACACCUCCUUCAUAACUGUGUAAUGCUGUCAACCACCUGGUUGCUGCUGCCACAACAAACAAAACACAAACUGCGGGAAAAACAACACCUCGUCAGCAUUACUUCAGAAAAGCCAGCAAAUAUUAAAACACAUUAGAGCUGAGAAAAGUUUCCCUCUGAUUAAAUAAAACUACCAAAGUCUGCACAUUUCUGCUGUUGAAGGGCUUUUCUGGAAUUCUGGAAUCUUGAUUAGUGAGCAGUGAAUGAGUAAAUGUAGAUACCAGGAGUGAUCAAAUAGUUCUUUAACCGUUUCUAUUUCUGUUUCAUAAGUCUGGAGCCCAGCAUCAUCAUACACCUGCAACAGGUGGGAGCAGAGACCUGAUUGGACUUCCAGGAAGCGUUAUAAGCAUUGCAGGAACACAAGGAGUGGGAUGUUGGAGCUUAAAGAGACUAAUUUGACAGGGAUGGUGGCCAAAUUAGAAAUAGCAGCGCCUUCAGCAGCUUCAGGUCUGGAGGAGGCUGAGCUCUCCGUAGCCAGUAGCAGGUGACGGCCACCGGGAGGCGCAGCUCAGGCAGCAGGUCAUUCAGUGUGGCCUCGGUCACCCCCAAGGCCUCCAGCAGAACCUGGAGACGUUCAGACAGAUUCGCCUAGGGCCACCAUACAGCAGAACAUAAUGUGGAACAAGGCACUGACCUCUGUUCACCCAGCAGCAGCCCGUACAUCACCUGGCGGAGCGGCCUGGAGGUCAGGUUAACACUGGGCUGGUCUUUGUGUCCCACGGUGACACUGAGGCUCAUCCUUUUCAGCAGUAACACAUCCAGGACAUCUGGGGUCAGUCGGGCCUGCCUCAGUUGUAGACGAAUCCAGUCCGGGACCUGAUGGAUUGAACCCACCUCCAGGAGAACAGCACACAACAAGUCCAGGGUAUUACAGAGUCUCUAUAGCACUUUUUCUCCACUAUGCUGUGGCUGUAAUUGUUUCUAUUCAGAUUAUUCUGAAUUAUGAAAUUGUUUUUCAAGUAAAAUUUUUCCCUCUGAACCACCAAA